rnacentral:rRNA from 1 species
CGUACACUCCUGCGGGAGGCAGCAGUGGGGAAUAUUGCACAAUGGGCGCAAGCCUGAUGCAGCCAUGCCGCGUGUAUGAAGAAGGCCUUCGGGUUGUAAAGUACUUUCAGCGGGGAGGAAGGCAAUACGGUUAAUAACCGUGUUGAUUGACGUUACCCGCAGAAGAAGCACCGGCUAACUCCGUGCCAGCAGCCGCGGUAAUACGGAGGGUGCAAGCGUUAAUCGGAAUUACUGGGCGUAAAGCGCACGCAGGCGGUCUGUCAAGUCGGAUGUGAAAUCCCCGGGCUCAACCUGGGAACUGCAUUCGAAACUGGCAGGCUUGAGUCUUGUAGAGGGGGGUAGAAUUCCAGGUGUAGCGGUGAAAUGCGUAGAGAUCUGGAGGAAUACCGGUGGCGAAGGCGGCCCCCUGGACAAAGACUGACGCUCAGGUGCGAAAGCGUGGGGAGCAAACAGGAUUAGAUACCCGAGUAGUCCCAUG